rnacentral:rRNA from 1 species
CCAAACCCAUCUGCACCCCCGGCUGUCAUCUUCUUCCCCGCCCUCGCCCUCGCCCCAGCAACCGCUCGCCCCAACCGCGGCGCCACCCAUCGCACAGUGGCCGUGUGCGGUGGGGUGGUUCUGCGAGGCUAUGGCGAUGGCGAGGAGGCAGCACAUCACAAUAUUCACCACGGCGAGCCUGCCGUGGAUGACCGGCACUGCUGUCAACCCCCUGUUCCGGGCGGCUUACCUCGCCAAGGCCGGGGACUGGGAGGUCACGCUGGUGGUGCCGUGGCUGUCCAAGGGGGACCAGAUGCUGGUUUACCCUAACAAGAUGAAAUUCAGUGGGCCGGCGGAGCAAGAAGGCUAUGUGUGGCGGUGGCUUGAGGAGCGGACUGGGCCGUUGCCGAGAUUCAACAUAAUUUUCUAUCCUGGGAAGUUCUCGACGGAGAAAAGAAGCAUUCUACCUGUUGGGGAUAUUACCGAGACGAUAUCUGAUGAAAAAGCAGAUAUUGCAGUUCUAGAAGAGCCAGAACAUCUGACCUGGUACCAUCAUGGACGGAGGUGGAAAAAAAAAUUCCGUAAAGUUAUAGGUGUUGUUCACACCAACUAUCUGGAAUACGUGAAGAGGGAGAAAAAUGGGUACAUUCAGGCAUUUCUCUUAAAACAUAUCAAUUCUUGGGUCACCGACAUCUACUGCCAUAAGGUUAUAAGAUUAUCGGGAGCAACUCAGGAAGUCCCGAGAUCUGUAAUCUGUAAUGUUCAUGGAGUAAACCCGAAAUUUAUUGAAAUUGGCAAAUUGAAGCAUCAGCAAAUAUCUCAAAGAGAGCAAUCAUUUUUCAAGGGUGCAUAUUAUAUUGGGAAGAUGGUCUGGAGUAAAGGCUACACAGAGCUGCUCCACCUGCUUCAGAAGCACCAAAAGGAACUGUCUGGUCUCAAGAUGGAGCUCUAUGGCAGUGGAGAAGAUUCGGAUGAAGUUAAAGCAUCAGCUGAGAAACUCAAUCUGGACGUUAGAGUCUAUCCUGGUCGUGACCAUGCAGAUUCAAUAUUUCACGACUACAAGGUUUUCAUAAACCCAAGCACAACAGAUGUAGUUUGCACCACAACUGCAGAAGCCUUGGCGAUGGGAAAGAUUGUGAUCUGCGCAAAUCAUCCUUCAAAUGAAUUUUUCAAAAGAUUUCCCAACUGCCACAUGUACAGCACGGAGAAAGAGUUUGUGAGACUAACCAUGAAAGCACUGUCAGAAGAGCCAAUCCCACUGACAGAGGAACUGAGGCACGAGCUUUCCUGGGAGGCAGCGACAGAGAGGUUUGUCAGGGUUGCUGAAAUCGCACCAGCCACGCCCGCCAAGCAACAUCCUUCCACUUCACAGCGUUUCAUGUACAUCAACCCGGAUGAGCUGAAGAAGAACAUGGAAGAGGCGUCGGCAUUCUUUCACAACACCAUCUCUGGGUUUGAAGCCGCCCGUUGUGUGUUUGGCGCGAUACCGAACAGCCUGCAGCCCGAUGAACAGCAGUGCAAGGAGCUUGGGUGGAGACCCCAGGGAUUAUAGCCUUUCCACCUCCAUGCUGUUGGCAUCGACCAUACAAGUUUACAACUAAUCGCAGCCCAGUUGGGGGGCUGAGGGAACCAACUCUGAAACGGAAACAUGUGUGCUCUGAAAAGGAUUACCGCUUGACAGGCCCUUGCUUUGCUCUCUUUCUGGUGUGAUGAAACUGCAGUUUUCCUUGGUGUCGUCCAUCAGAUCUGUAUCUGGCGAUUGUGAAGUCUACCGGCAGCAACACCAACGCCAACACCAACACGGUUGCUUCUCCCCCAGCGGCGGAAGGAAUCUCGGGUCCCUCCUCCCCCGGCGCCGGGCGGGACCUCGACGGGUAAAUCGCGACGGCGCCCUAGAACCCCCGAGCAGCCGGGCGAUGGAGGACCGCGGCGGCGGGGGCGGGGGCGCGGGCGGGCGGCGGGUGGGGGACUACGUGCUGCUGCGCCCGAUCGGGUCGGGGGCCUACUCACAGGUCUGGCUGGGGAAGCACGUCGCGCGGGGCACCGAGGUGGCCGUCAAGGAGAUCGCCAUGGACCGCCUCAGCGCCAAGCUCCGCGACAGCCUCCUCUCCGAGGUCGACAUCCUCCGCCGCAUCACGCACCCCAACAUCAUCGCGCUCCACGAUUCCAUCAGGGAUGGCGGGAGGAUAUAUCUCAUAUUGGAGUAUUGUCGAGGUGGUGACUUGUACGCGUAUCUUCUACGGCAUAAAAGGGUUCCUGAAACUGUUGCUAAGCAUUUCAUUCGGCAGCUAGCAUGUGGUCUGCAGAAGCUUCGUGAAAGCAACGUGGUUCAUCGGGAUCUUAAACCACAGAACAUUCUUCUUGUUUCAAAUAAUGGAACGUCCAUCUUGAAGAUUGCUGACUUCGGAUUUGCAAAAUUUUUGCAACCUUCUGGUCUAGCUGAAACACUUUGUGGUUCACCCCUUUACAUGGCUCCAGAAGUCAUGCAAGCUCAGAAGUAUGAUGCAAAGGCAGAUCUUUGGAGCGUUGGUAUUAUUCUAUAUCAACUUGUUACUGGAUCUCCACCUUUUAACGGGGAUAGUCAAAUCCAGUUGAUGAAAAACAUACUAAAGUCAGGUCAAUUACGAUUUCCAUCUGAUUGUGAGUUGAGCCAUGAUUGCAUUGACUUGUGCAGAAAGUUACUGCGAAUCAGUUCAGUGGAACGCCUUACAGUUGAAGAGUUUGUGAACCAUCCAUUUCUCUCUGAACAUGCUCCAGAGAGAAUCUUGAGUCGGACACCAUCAGACACAAGAGAUGGCUUUCCCUUCACUAAAAGCAGUCCAACGAGGCUUUCGGGCCAAAGUUCUCAAGAAGAUUGUAUGCCUUUUCCUUUAGAUCUGUCAACUGGACAGGAGGAGAGUCCUGCUCCUGAGAGUAAUGCCCCAAUGAAAUCUUAUGGGUUUGCUACUAGUAAAAAGUUGGAUAAAACUUCAGGCCAGAGUCCGUCGAAGCAUACAGGCCUGUUCUCCAGAUACAUCAUGGGCAACAAUUAUGCACCUAGCAGUCAACGUCUGGACCAUCCUGGUCAAAGGACCAAAGAAAGCAAGAUUGGUGAAGGACGUGGUGCUAAAGGUGUUCAUCCAGAAGAUUCCCCUAUCAUUGAUUCAUUAGAGUUUGUAGAUCAGGAAUAUGUCUUUGUGUCUGGACAUGCGGAAGGAUCCUCUUCUUCAACAAGUGCCUCUCUACAGCGUAAUUUGCCAGCUAAGUAUGAGAAUCCUUCUGUUUCGCCACCAAACUUAGCUGCUCUGAGUGCACCAGUGCCAAUAAAUGGCACAGCAAUAAACAGGCAACAGUCUGCUGGAACUGGUAGCUUGGACAGUCAUUGUUCUCCAAUAUCUGGUACUUCACAUGGAUCUGCGUACAUGAGUGAUGGCUUGGAUCAACCACCAUCUCAUUAUCUGACCAGGAUUAGAUUAUUGGGGCAGUAUGCUUCUACCAUAGCGGAGUUGGUCAAAGAAGAGAUAAAAGGUGGCAGGCACUUAGAGGCAUUCUCGAUCCAGCUAAUUAUUCUUGCGACCUGGAAGCAAGCAAUUCACAUAUGCAAUUCCUAUGCGGCUUCAGCUGCCAGAGAGAGUCCCUCACAUGAUAUCACUAUGAAGGGGCUUGAUACUGACGUUCUCCAAUUGCUUGCAAACUCUCAAAUGGCUGAUGAAGAAUGCACACAGAUUGAGAGGCAGUUUCUCACUGAAGUUGAACAUGCUGAAGAACUUGCAAGCACUGUAGGGCAGAUACCUGAUGCUACAGCGAUGCCCGACGCUGUUGAAUUAAUAUUUCAAUUUGCACUAGAAUAUGGAAGGCAUGGUGGUGUUGUAGAGAUGAUGGGGAAAGCAGCAGUGGCCAUGUCGCGGUAUACAAAGGCAAUAUGCUUGCUGCGUUUUCUCCUGAUCGAGGCACCAUCGCUCGCCCUCAACCCGCCUUUGUCCCUGACUAGAUCUGACCGACACCGACUGCGCUCAUACAUUGAAGCCCUCAACGCAAGGCUCAGCCAGUUGCAAUGCCCGAGUCACUGACCGCUGCCGGUGGGCCUUCUUGGGGGCUGACUUGUACAAUAUUCUUUCAUUUGUACAUAUAUUUGUUGGCCCAAACGAGGGCGUGUAAGAUGGCCACGCUAGAGAUCGUGAGAUUAGCGAAUGUAGUGGAAAUCCAGUGUAACCGCCCAAACUACUAUCGUAACGUGAGGUGUGUGUGCGUGUGUUAUGCAUGCUUUAUUCUGUACCAACUAAGGCUGCAGCCAUGGUCAUGAUGUAAACAGACUGCUUACUCGUUAUUUAUUUCUUGGGCCGUUACACUAUGCUGAAGGUGUC